rnacentral:misc_RNA from 1 species
UUUCCGUAGGUGAACCUGCGGAAGGAUCAAUAAAAAUGAAGCCGGGAAACCGGUCCUUCUAACCCUUGAUUAUCUUAAUUUGUUGCUUUGGUGGGCCGCGCAAGCACCGGCUUCGGCUGGAUCGUGCCCGCCAGAGGACACAACUCUGUAUCAAAUGUCGUCUGAGUACUAUAAAAUAGUUAAAACUCUCAACAACGGAUCUCUUGGUUCUG